AUGCAAAUCAUCAUUUGCAGUUGUGUAUUCAAAUGAUGCUGAAAUUGAAAACCAGUUGUGAUUUGUGUUUCAAUUGGUAGCGGCCAGACAACCGUGUGGAUGUGGUAUCCACAGAUAGGGUUUAAUUCGGUCCCAAUUUGUCUACUAAUUCCAUCUCACAUUG